rnacentral:lncRNA from 1 species
AGUGCUGUGUAUGCAGCCAUAUAGUGAAUGCCUUCAUUUGCACCCUGAACUCUGAAUAGUCACUUUUAAAACAUCCAUCUGUCAUCCAUCUAGUGAGGUCAGGAGAGUGGCUGCUUAACUUCUGGGGGUUGCAGAAAAGGAAGAAGAAUCAGCAGAGAGCAUUUGUGGCCAGCAAAGCUUAAAAUAUUUCCUAACCGAUCCUUUGCAAAAAAAGUUCACCCACUCCUGUAGUCAGCAGCUCCCCUACUGUGCGCAGUCAGUGUGCCAUCUCAGACUAGCAAAGAUUUGUGCUUGGAUCAUCUACACUUCCCUGAAUGUUGAAGAAGAUAUGCUAUCCAUGCAAUCCUUGUCGACUGCUUGAUUAAAAAGUGGAUAAACUGUCUUCAGGCCCUUGGAGUAUGGUGUCUGUGUGAAGAAGGGAAUGAGGCAGAAGUAGCAGUCAGUGGUGGCUGAAGUAGGAGAAAGUGCUUGCUAAUGAAAUCUUGAUUUUUCUGUGGCUUUUCUGUGCAAUUGGGUGGCUAAGUAGGAAAGCCAUUGGAGCUUCACUGUAUCAAUUCUGCCUUUCUUGUUUUUUGGAACUCCAAUUCACCAAGGCUCCCUGCCACCCUAUCCAUCUAUAACUUUUCAUCACUUUUUCCUCAAAGUAAGAAGUGUGUCCCAGAAAAUGUGCCUUUGUGACUCAGCAACAUUUCAAAUCCAUCUGAGCCUUCCCAGCGUUCCAAAAGAAAUACUGAUUUGAAUUCAGCUGCUUAAAAAACCAGUCUCUAAGCAGACAGCUUGAAACUUCCUUACAGCAAUAGUUUAGGCUUUGGAGGGGAAAUUGGUUUGUUUUUAAUUGUUUUAAUUUUUCAUUCAAUUCAUUUGCCGCCUGAUUAUAUAUGAUCUUUUGAGCCCAAUACUCUGCUAAAUUAACCUUGACUUUCUUUCUCUCUUUCUCUCUCUCUCCUUCUCUCUUUCUUCCUUUCUUUCUUUCUUUUUGACAGAGCCUUGCUCUGUCGCCCAGGCUGGAAUGCAGUGGCACAAUCUCAGCUCACUGUAAACUCCGCCUCCAAAGUUCAAGCAAUUCUCCUGCCUCAGCCUCCUGUGUAGCUGGGAUUACACACGCCAGCCACCAUGCCUGGCUAAUUUUUGUAUUUUUAGUAAAGAUGGAGUUUCACCCUCUUGGCCAAGCUGGUCUCGAACUCCUGACCUCAACCUUGGCCUCUCAAAGUGCUGGGAUUACAAGCAUGAGCCACCAUGCCUGGCCUUACCUUGAUUUUUUUUUUUUGAGACAGAGUCUCACUCUGUUGCUCAGGCUGGAGUGUAGUGGCUCGAUCUUGGCUCACUGCAACCUCCAUCUCCCGGGUUCAAGAGAUUCUCCUGCCUCAGCCUCCCAAGUAGCUGGGACUACAGGUGUGGGCCACCACGCCUAGCUAAUUUUUUAUAUGUUUACUAGAGACAGGGUUUCACCAUGUUGGGCAGGCUGGUCUUGAACUCCUGACCUCAGGUGAUUCACCUGCCUCGGCCUCCCAAAAUGCUGGGAUUACAGGUGUGAGCCACCACACCCGGCCCCUACCUUUGAUUUUUAAGUCAAGAGGGAACAAGUCGAAAUUUCUAUUCAGGUAAACUGUAUACCUUUGGACACUGAAUCACUUUUAGAACCCCAGUAAAAAUCAUGUAUGAAUGACCCACAAUUUCACUCCAACAGGAAGGUGUGUAUAUGUGCACAAAAACAUUAGAUUGUUCACACCGGUGCUAUUCAUAAUAGUCAAAAACUGGAAACAACUCAAACAUCCAUCAACUGUAGAAUGGAUAAAUAAAUCAUGAUAUAUUCAUACCAUGGAACAUAACAGUGACAAUAAAUGAACCACUGCUACACACAACAGAUAUGAAUUUCACAAACAGAAUGCUGAGCAACAGAAGCCAAACACAGAAGGAUACACAUUUAUAAAUCCAUUUGUAUGAAGUUCAUAAACAGACAAAAUUAGUCAGUGGAGAUUAUUCUCAUAGAAGUCUGAAGGGUAGUUGUCUUUAGGGAGGGGGAUAUAGUGACUGAGGUGGGUAUAAGGGGUUUCUGGGGUUUGGUGAUGGUACACCAGCAUAUUCACUCUGAAAACUCAUUGAGCUGUGCAAUAAUGAUUUUUCAAACUUUUAUAUGUGUAUGAUAAUGCUUCAAUAAAGCUUUGCUUAAAAACACGCAUAGUCAUUGCUAUGGUGUGAAUGUUUGUGUGCCCCCGUUCACCAAAUUCAUAGGUUGAAAUCCUAACCCCCAAGGUGAUGAUAUUAGGAGU